rnacentral:rRNA from 1 species
GCAACGCGAAGAACCUUACCUGGUCUUGACAUCCACGGAAGUUUUCAGAGAUGAGAAUGUGCCUUCGGGAACCGUGAGACAGGUGCUGCAUGGCUGUCGUCAGCUCGUGUUGUGAAAUGUUGGGUUAAGUCCCGCAACGAGCGCAACCCUUAUCCUUUGUUGCCAGCGGUCCGGCCGGGAACUCAAAGGAGACUGCCAGUGAUAAACUGGAGGAAGGUGGGGAUGACGUCAAGUCAUCAUGGCCCUUACGACCAGGGCUACACACGUGCUACAAUGGCGCAUACAAAGAGAAGCGACCUCGCGAGAGCAAGCGGACCUCAUAAAGUGCGUCGUAGUCCGGAUUGGAGUCUGCAACUCGACUCCAUGAAGUCGGAAUCGCUAGUAAUCGUGGAUCAGAAUGCCACGGUGAAUACGUUCCCGGGCCUUGUACACACCGCCCGUCACACCAUGGGAGUGGGUUGCAAAAGAAGUAGGUAGCUUAACCUUCGGGAGGGCGCUUACCACUUUGUGAUUCAUGACUGGGGUGAAGUCGUAACAAGGUAACCGUAGGGGAACC